CCGGAACUCGUCUGUACAUCUGGCUGCACUUCGUAACGUUAUGAAAGGACAAGCAUGCAGACUCAAACACAACAAACGUGACGUCUCAUUGACCAUAGGGUUAGAUCGAGUAGCUUCCCUUGGAUAAAGGACGUACAGUUACUCAAGCGGACAGACCGAUGGAUUGGUUCGGACCUUUUGUACUGACUGCAGAUGUCACAACAACAUCAGUAGUCAAGUAUGAAGCUGACAGCAAGAGGACCAGCAUCACUGACAACAAGGAACAGCCAAAUUCACUCUGUAGGUCACCUGAGAAUGUCUAGAAUAUUUCCAACAUUACGAAUAAAGAUAUUUGCUGGUA